rnacentral:rRNA from 1 species
UACGGAGGAUCCAAGCGUUGUCCGGAUUUAUUGGGUUUAAAGGGUGCGUAGGCGGCCUAUUAAGUCAGGGGUGAAAGACGGUAGCUUAACUAUCGCAGUGCCUUUGAUACUGAUAGGCUUGAAUGUACUUGAGGUAGGCGGAAUGUGACAAGUAGCGGUGAAAUGCAUAGAUAUGUCACAGAACACCAAUUGCGAAGGCAGCUUACUAAAGUAUGAUUGACGCUGAGGCACGAAAGCGUGGGGAUCAAACAGG